GACGAACGCUGGCGGCGUGCUUAACACAUGCAAGUCGAACGGAGUGGCGAACGGGUGAGUAUUACGUGAGUAACCUGCCCUCAACUGUGGGAUAAGCCUGGGAAACUGGGUCUAAUACUGCAUAGUUGGGGAUGGGCUCGCGGCCUAUCAGCUUGUUGGUGGGGUGAUGGCCUACCAAGGCGGUGACGGGUAGCCGGCCUGAGGGGGUGGGCGGGCACAAUGUGGCCGAGAUACGGGCCCGAGUCCGACCGGAGGGAGGAGGGGGGGAUAUUGAACAAUGGGGGCAAGCCUGAUGCAGGGACGCCGCGUGAGGGAUGGAGGCUUUCGGGUUGUAAACCUCUUUCGGUACAGAACGGGUAUGUGCAGAAGAAGCGCCGGCUAACUACGUGCCAGCAGCCGCGGUAAUUC
rnacentral:rRNA from 1 species